AAAAAAAAAUGCCUGCAUGGAAACAAAUUUAUUGAAACAUUCACAGAUGAUAUAACAGAUGAUGAACAUCUCACUGGCAGCGUCUUUGCUGACCACAACAAUAGUGCCAUAACCAAGACAGUUUCUUACACUAUCUGCUUAUGCUUUGGGAGCAUAAUGUAUCUUGCAGAACAUCUAAUUGCCUUCAAUAAGAUUAAAGCAAUCAAUACACACAAUUUAGCCAAGGAAACCGCUUUACAACAGAAAUGUCCGUGCAGAGAUGUCUUGACACAGAGUGGAGUGGAUGUUCGUACAUACAGAAUGGACAAUACAUAUUAGAGAUAAAAAGGACAUUCAACAUUUUUUCAGUCACAUUGUUAAACCCACGACUGGCCUGCUCUGAUUUUAUCGUCCUCUAGUGCUGUUUGGAUUUUUUAUUUGGAGGCAAAUCAAUAUUACUAAUUAUUUAAGAUCCUUUGAAUAAUAUUUAUUCAUGGAGGCAACCAAGAAUAAUCCCUUGUCCACUCAUAGAGGGAAAGUAAGACUUUUUAUGGAUAUUAGAUAGAACUUUGUGCAACUAAUAUUAAACAUUCAACAUUUGUGUACGUCUCAUAGUGAAGGGAGCUCUUGCAAAAUAGAAUAAAAAAAAUCAUAUAAUUUCAUGCUCUCCGUCUUUACAUCUAGAAUCCUUUAAUCCUUAAUCCAAAUUAGAAAAAGUUUAACAUACGACAUCAGCACAUUAAAUAUAACCAGAUGUGCGGUCUGUUUACAUAUCGAAUGAAUAUAACCAGUAGUGCGGUCUGUUUACAUAUCGAAUGACAGGUUAUAUUAUAUUGCCAUGUACUUUGAGACACUGGACAAUACCACUUCAUUAGUCUGACAAGGUUUCCUGAUUUGCACAGAAAUAAUCACUUAUUUGACUGAACACCUGGAUACAAACUCUGUAUAGAAAAUCUUAUGAUGUACAGUAAUCAUAAAAAGUGUUUAAAUUGGCAAAGAUCUUAAGUGACAUGUCCGGCGUUAUCAUUUUGAGAUCUCAUCAAGGCCUGAUCAUUUGUAUAUUGGCGAGACUUCACAGUUUUCGCUCUGUAUUUUCGCCUUUUCUGUUGAUGUAUAUGAUUUUAGAACUUUAAAGUAAAUAUGUGAACUGAAAAUAUUUCUUUCAU